ACAUUUUGAAGCAAUAAACAAACGGCAAACCGCCGGCAAACGUGCGGUCAGCGCAAAGUAAAGAAGAGACCCUCGGCUCACACAGCGGCCGCUGAAAGCUUCGUUCGUGAAUGUCCAUUCGUGUUUGGUAAUGGGAGGCGCAAGUGGAAUGGGGAAAUGUCUCGAAGGAAACAAGAUAAACCUCAACAGUUAAGAUUCGAAUAGGAAUUGUUCGGUCACUGUGCGACACGAACCGUCUGUGUUGCAUUGAAGGGUCGUCACAUCUCGAGGAAGGCAGGAAGCCAGUAUAGGAACCACGUGACUGGAAAGACCGGGCUUUGUAGCAAAUGAUGAAGGGACAGUUUGUACAUGAGUGGCCACCUUAGCAACAUGAAUGUAACUUCAAUCGAUUAUGGAAGGUUCGGGCCCGCAUUGCCAGGUCCCAAGGUGCAACUUGGCGCCGAAGUGACGCCGCCCGGUACGCAGUGUGCACUUGAGGUCGCGGAGAAAAUGCAGGACCAGGAUAUUGAACCGUGGCCGGGAGGGGAGGGAUCAAGAAACUCUGCGGGGAAUGAAGCCUCCGAUUCCCGGGGAGGAGCCAAGUUCGUCUCAAACCCAGCUCAGCAGCAGCGACAAAAUAAUAAACUAACAUUUAUCGUAAACGGCAUCGCAGAAAAAAGGCGACAGACGCUUUUUGAUGACGACAGAGAACAGAAAUCGCAGGCUUUUAUCGGCGUGACGUCAUCAUCCAUAACGUCAUGCGUCGAUAACGAAAGAUUUAAAUCCAACCGACGAAAACAGAGGCCGUAUAAGACCGUCCGGUGCUCUACGGAAAGUCCGCCUCCGAAAACCGAAAAUGAAGACGUUUCUGAGGUUGAAGAUUUUAUCACUUGUGGGCGCUGUAGGAAAACUUACCCGCUCCCUGCCAUCGCUGACUUUAUACAGCAUAAACAACUAUGCAAAGGAAUUUUGGACGAAAAUUCCACAAACCACGUGGAAAAACGUCACAGUACGUCUGUUAUGACGUCAGAAAGGGGUGUGCAAGUGAAUCUGGUUGGAUGUCCACUAUCUGACGUCAUAGCGUCAAGAGUAGUUUCGCCAAGCGACCGACCAAUCACGUUUGACCUCAAGAAUGACGUACAUAGUGACGUCAUCAGCGGUGUUCAAUUCCAAGAUGCGCAGGGGAAUCCCCACAACCAGGAAAACUACCGGUGCAGGGAAUGUUCGAAAGAAUUCACAUCUGCAGCUUUCCUGCUACAGCAUAUACAACACACACAUGGUGUGCGUUUGCCGCCACCUAGCGAAAAACCCCGCUUCCCACCCCCGCUUGAACGACGUCGGCUCUCACCCGGUCAGUUACCAGGGCAACAACUCCCCAAUGAUGACAGAGUGACGCAAGACAUCCCGAUGACGUCACCAAGUUAUAGUUUCAUCAACCAAUGGCUUAAAGCCGCGUCGCAUCGACCCCAACAUGACCCCAUACCCACCAACCCACCUGACCCCCGACUUUACCAAACAGCAGCGGCGAUCGCCCUCGCAUCAGCGGCAGCGGGGAGGGGGCCAAAUUACACCCAGGAAUUCACCCAAGGACCCACCCCAGUCGAUAAUUUACCCCGAAAUACCCCGUCCCACCUACCGGAAGUAACGGGGCGACAUGAUUCAACGUCAUAUCCGCUUUCCCCGCUCGAGAUCCUACAGAACAUGAGUAAUGUCAAUUACUCGGCUCGUUUGCGCCGUCUAGCGUCACAAACCAAGAGCCCGCUCCCCCAUAUGGAAAUGACGUCACCAACCAACCCUCGACCCGGGAACACUGCGACUAGCUUAGCUGGCAACACUGCGCCAAGCGCCGAACCUGGUUUUUCCCUCGCUCAGCGACCUUUUCUACGACGUAAGACGGGAAAUGACGUCACGAACUCUGACGUCACGGAUGGUGACGUUGCCGGUGACGUAUUCACUUCAAAUAAACCGCGACUCUCGUUCGGGGAAGCGCGAGUUGUAGCGAAAAUGAGGAGACGGGUGAAGGCAUGCGAUUCGUGCGGAAGGGGUUUUCCCCUAAGUGCGUACCGCAGGGUUAGGGGUCGGGGUUUUUACUGUAGGGGGUGCGAAGUGAAAAAGUUUCGGGAACGUAAACGAAGUUUGAAGAGGGUUGAAGUAGUGGAUCAAAGUGGAAGAUCAACUCCUAAUAAAGAAAUCAAGAAUGGAUCGUCCGCGUUUAACUCGGACGACGAUCCAGCGACACCUAGCGUCGAUUCUACAGAAGGACCAAUCAGCCGGGCGACCUCACCCGGACCCACAGACGAUCUGCUUCCAUUAAAACGCUGGCACUCCGAUAGUGACCUCAUACGUGAUGACGUAAGGACCUCAUCUGAUGACGUCAUCAUACACUCGGCACCGGGCACCCCAUUGUACAGUGAUGACGACACGGUUUUCGUCAACCGGGGUUUCCCCAAUGACGUCAUGACCCUUGACCUCACUCCUCUCCCCGACAAAAUAUUACCGAGUAACGUCAUAAUGGACAGGAGGAAAAGAGAAAGAGCUGAGAGCGAGGGUGGGAUAAUAAAGAGAGUGAAAAGCGAACCUCACUCCCCGAGACUAUUCUCUGACCCCAUGACGUCACGAUCAAAGUUUGAAUUUUUCGAAUUUCCCUCGACUCGUGACGUCAUCAGUCGUCAAAACAGCGAUAUGACGUCAGAGAAGAGCGCCGUCAACCGGUCGUUAUCUUCCCCCAUCGUAAAACCUGAUGUCAACCAAGUUGGUGGCAACCAAAGGCGAGGAUCACUACCUGGCGUCUCGUCGCUAGAGGGAGCAAUGCAGUUGAGUUUAACUCCUUCAGGAUCACCAUCUAACGGCAGAUCGAUGCGACUUUCUUCCACCGCUAGUAGUCGCAGUACACCACCAAGUGCUGGUUUACCCCCGUAUGGGGAACUCCCUGCGCCCUUGUUUUCGUCAUCGUUCCAAAACCCAGUUACCGUGACGACAUCGCAACGACGAAACUCAGUCAGCCAAAUCAAGAUUAGUGACGUCAUUGGGUCACGCAUCGGCGAAUACCAGAACGCGCUCGUGUUCGAACGCAUGCGACAAGCGAUGGCGUCUGACGUCAGAGGUGGUGGGAUUCCCCCGCCCUCGCCCAAUCAGAUGCCGUAUAGGAUGCCUUCAACCCGUAAACCAUGGAAACCAUGGGCCAUAGAUCGUCAUGGGUGACUAGUCAGAGUGGUGCGUCACACUCCCCAAGGAAUGGUGGUAGGAGCGCAUUACGUAGCAGGGGGAGGGGAUCGGUGAGGAAUGACACGUGCCAGUAUUGCGGGAAGGUCUUCAAGAACACCUCAAACCUCACCGUCCACCGUCGCAUGCACACUGGCGAGCGACCCUACAAAUGUCGACUCUGUGAUUACGCAUGCGCGCAAUCGAGCAAGUUAACACGUCACAUGCGCACCCACGGUUUGAAUGGUCGUGACGUAUACCGAUGUGAAAUAUGCGGGAUGCCCUUCUCAGUUUACAGCACGCUUGAGAAACACGUGAAGAAACAGCAUGGUGACAGUGUUCGUAUGACGGUUGGAAAAUUCGACCACGUGCCCAUUAACUCGAUGCCCUACAACGCUGAACAACAAGCGAUCCAAGCGCGAUCUCUAGCGGUGGCCGCACUCAUGAAGGAACGCCCACUUGGUGGCGGUAGGCAUGACGACGUUUCAACAGCCGACCACCCGAUUCCCAGUGUUGGUCCUUACAUCAUGGGGGGAGGGGUUUACCACGGUCGGAAAAAUUCAAACGGCAACAACAACAAUGACGUCACCCCUGAUGACGUAGAGAGCGGUUCCGCGCGGCCUAGCUAUCCGGAUCUGCUUUGCAAAUCUGAAAAUCUAAACGAAGAAUAAUUCUAUGCAGCCAACACACCAUACAAGGUGCAUUAUGACGUCAACUAAGGUGCCACUGUUCGGUCACAACUCGGUUCUACAGUCGAUACGUCACAAACACGGGUGUCUCUUUCAAAAGGUGUCGACUCUCUUGCGUACUCUAGCGGACCUUGUAAUCGCUUUACUAAUUUUCGCUUCGUAGGAAAUAUUUCGUGCCCGCACAGCAUAAUGGUGACGUCAUCGUGACGUAACAGCAUUUCGUUUCACCGCUUUAAGCGCUUGCCUUUGUUUAUUCCCUUGUACACUUUUAAUCUAGUUGCCUAUUCCCAAGAUGCUUUCUCACAUUCGGUGGUUUCCCUUCUGGUGCUUUUGAAUCGCGACAGCCUUAAGUAGUACCCAUGCACCUAUACAUCCAGCUACGCUGCCAAUUUACCCGCUUUCCGCUAAAGUUCAUUUAAAGUUCAUGUGCCGACGUCAUCAGUGACGUCAUCAAGUUCCAACUUUGUAUAUAUUCUCCCACAAUGCAAUUGCAUUUCCACCUUCCGCUUUUCACCCCCCUUACCCCUAAAAGUUCCGGAAAUCCCCCUAAUUGACCCCUUCCUGCGCAUUCGAUGCAACACUGUGCGGGACCUUGCUGCUGUGAGUCUAUUUUAACAUGUGAAUGCGGUGGCCUAGCCACGUGGAGGCGAUAGUGAGUUGUUGAGGAAAAAGUUAAAUCGUCAUAAAAAUAAAAUAUACUGGUGGAUCA